rnacentral:rRNA from 1 species
AGAGUUUGAUCCUGGCUCAGGAUGAACGCUGGCGGCGUGCUUAACACAUGCAAGUCGAACGGACUUAUCCUUUGUGAAGCGAUUAGUUUACUAAGAGUGGAACGGUGGAUAAGUUAGUGGCGGACGGGUGAGUAACGCGUGGGCAACCUGCCUUGCACUGGGGGAUAACAGCCGGAAACGGCUGCUAAUACCGCAUAAGCGCACGCUACCGCAUGGUAGUGUGUGAAAAACUCCGGUGGUGCAAGAUGGGCCCGCGUCUGAUUAGUUAGUUGGGAGGGUAACGGCCUACCAAGACGAUGAUCAGUAGCCGGCUUGAGAGAGUGAACGGCCACAUUGGGACUGAGACACGGCCCAAACUCCUACGGGAGGCAGCAGUGGGGAAUAUUGCACAAUGGGGGAAACCCUGAUGCAGCGACGCCGCGUGAGUGAAGAAGUAUUUCGGUAUGUAAAGCUCUAUCAGCAGGGAAGAAAAUGACGGUACCUGACUAAGAAGCCCCGGCUAACUACGUGCCAGCAGCCGCGGUAAUACGUAGGGGGCAAGCGUUAUCCGGAUUUACUGGGUGUAAAGGGAGUGCAGGCGGCCAGAUAAGUCUGAUGUGAAAGCCCGCGGCUCAACCGCGGGACUGCAUUGGAAACUGUCAGGCUGGAGUGUCGGAGAGGUAAGCGGAAUUCCUAGUGUAGCGGUGAAAUGCGUAGAUAUUAGGAGGAACACCAGUGGCGAAGGCGGCUUACUGGACGAUAACUGACGCUGAGGCUCGAAAGCGUGGGGAGCAAACAGGAUUAGAUACCCUAGUAGUCC